rnacentral:lncRNA from 1 species
UUCAGAGAAUGAACUAAAACUUUGGUAGCAAAACUAUAUUUUAUCAGGCUUCUAAGGUCACCUAAAACACAACUCAAAACAGCACUUCUGAAUUUGCAUAACAGCCCAGAAAACAACAUAUAAAAAUUCAUAUCUCCUAAACUAUGCAACCAAAAAUUAUGAAAUUUUGCUGAUAGGAAGAACUUUUAUUCCUCUACAAAAGUCUUUGUAGUUGGAAGAGCUAAUUCGGCAAUUUACAAGGUGAAAAAUACCAAUGAACAGACCUGACUCGAUCUGCCAGGCAAACACGAACAGUCACAUUGAACCGGCCAUAACUGGAGUUCUACUCCACCAAAAAUUGCAAAAUACGAAUUGGAAAUCUUACUAAAUCCUCCACAACUUCCUAAUCUAUCUCAAGAAUCAAUUCCGCACCUACCGUAUCCAAAACUUGUACCCUAGAGAAACUGUUGAAUCUGCUAAGAAACUACAACUAGAAAAUGACGUUAAACCCCAAUCCAACCUCUAAUCCUUUAAUCCCCCACAGCCAAAACCUCCAAAACCACUUAAUUAUAGAGGAAGGAUAUGGAUUCCACUCUUACCUAAGGCUUCCCUAUGGAAAUCUGCAAGGGGAGGUUGGGGAAAAAUACCGAUCUAGCAUAUAUCCUCGAUCCUCGCUUCCUCUUCAAUCCAUCUUGCUCCUUCUCUUCUCGAUCCUUGCUGCAAUGGAGGAGAUCUAGAGGUGGAAGGGAGCAGUGGAGAGUGGAGGAGGUGUGCUGGGAAGGGGUCGUGAGGAGGGGGAGAGGGGGCGGCACUGGGGGUUCGGCCAGAAGGGGGUGGAGGUAAGUGUUACAUGCCCUCCUCUAUUUUUCUUGAUUCAUCUCAUCCAUUCAUUCUUCAAUUCCACAAAACUUCAUGAUCAUAAAUCCAAAUGCUACAUAUGAGUAGUCAAAUGGAUUGCUUUCGAAAAGAUCUAUGCAUCCACGGUCACCGAUUUUCUAUACGAGCUAUGGAUCAAAAAAGUUAACUUUUGCCCCUCCUUAAAACACCUGGUCAGCAUGUACACUUUAUCGCAAUAAAUUUUCGAUAAAUCUGAUAGCUCCGUUUGUCGGCAAGGUCCAGUAAAACUAUUUUUACCACCGAAAUUUUAAUGUUCACCCGAAUUCACACACAAUUGACUGGUCGACCUACGUAAACUGUUUGAAAAUAAUUGUGUAAUUAUUUGAAGAAAUUGGGACAAAAUUUUGUUUAAAUUUUAACCGAAAAUCAAUUUGCUAAACCGUAAAGGAUUUACGAUAAAGCUGAUAAACCCGUUUAUCAGUGACCUCCGAUAAUUUCCUCUUACCGGUAACGUUAACCCUGCAACCUACUGCCACCGAUGGUCUGAUGCCCUCCCGCAAGAAUCCCUUUAGAUCCCGCGGCCACAUAUGCCUACCUCAACCAGAUGGAUAGCUAACCCCAAG